GACGGAGGGGGCUAGCGUUGCUCGGAAUUACUGGGCGUAGAGCGCACGUAGGCGGCUUCUUAAGUCGGGGGUGAAAUCCUGGAGCUCAACUCCAGAACUGCCUUCGAUACUGGGAAGCUCGAGUUCGGGAGAGGUGAGUGGAACUGCGAGUGUAGAGGUGAAAUUCGUAGAUAUUCGCAAGAACACCAGUGGCGAAGGCGGCUCACUGGCCCGAGACUGACGCUGAGGUGCGAAAGCGUGGGGAGCAAACAGG
rnacentral:rRNA from 1 species